rnacentral:rRNA from 1 species
GAUGAACGCUGGCGGCGUGCCUAAUACAUGCAAGUCGAGCGAACAGACGAGGAGCUUGCUCCUCUGACGUUAGCGGCGGACGGGUGAGUAACACGUGGAUAACCUACCUAUAAGACUGGGAUAACUUCGGGAAACCGGAGCUAAUACCGGAUAAUAUAUUGAACCGCAUGGUUCAAUAGUGAAAGACGGUUUUGCUGUCACUUAUAGAUGGAUCCGCGCCGCAUUAGCUAGUUGGUAAGGUAACGGCUUACCAAGGCAACGAUGCGUAGCCGACCGGAGAGGGUGAUCGGCCACACUGGAACUGAGACACGGUCCAGACUCCUACGGGAGGCAGCAGUAGGGAAUCUUCCGCAAUGGGCGAAAGCCUGACGGAGCAACGCCGCGUGAGUGAUGAAGGUCUUCGGAUCGUAAAACUCUGUUAUUAGGGAAGAACAAAUGUGUAAGUAACUAUGCACGUCUUGACGGUACCUGAUCAGAAAGCCACGGCUAACUACGUG